rnacentral:rRNA from 1 species
CGUGGGGGACGAGCGUUGUCCGGAUUCAUUGGGCGUAAAGCGCGCGUAGGCGGCUCGGAAAGUCGGGCGUGAAAUGCCGGGGCUCAACCCCGGGACUGCGUCCGAUACUUCCGAGCUGGAGGUAGGUAGGGGAGAUCGGAAUUCCUGGUGUAGCGGUGAAAUGCGCAGAUAUCAGGAGGAACACCGGUGGCGAAGGCGGAUCUCUGGGCCUUACCUGACGCUGAGGCGCGAAAGCUAGGGGAGCAAACAGGAUUAGAUACCCUGGUAGUCCUAGCCGUAAACGUUGGGUGCUAGGUGUGGGCGGACAUCGACCCCGUCCGUGCCGAAGCUAACGCAUUAAGCACCCCGCCUGGGGAGUACGGCCGCAAGGCUA